rnacentral:rRNA from 1 species
AUACGUAGGCAGCAAGCGUUGUUCGGAAUUACUGGGCGUAAAGGGUGCGUAGGCGGUGUACUAAGUUUGGUGUGAAAUCUCCCGGCUCAACUGGGAGGGUGCGCCGAAAACUGGGACACUCGAGUGUGGGAGAGGAAAGCGGAAUUCCUGGUGUAGCGGUGAAAUGCGUAGAGAUCAGGAGGAACACCUGCGGUGUAGACGGCUUUCUGGACCAUAACUGACGCUGAGGCACGAAAGCGUGGGUAGC